rnacentral:rRNA from 1 species
GAUGAACGCUGGCGGCGUGCCUAAUACAUGCAAGUCGAGCGAACAGACGAGGAGCUUGCUCCUCUGACGUUAGCGGCGGACGGGUGAGUAACACGUGGAUAACCUACCUAUAAGACUGGGAUAACUUCGGGAAACCGGAGCUAAUACCGGAUAAUAUAUUGAACCGCAUGGUUCAAUAGUGAAAGACGGUUUUGCUGUCCCUUAUAGAUGGAUCCGCGCCGCAUUAGCUAGUUGGUAAGGUAACGGCUUACCAAGGCAACGAUGCGUAGCCGACCUGAGAGGGUGAUCGGCCACACUGGAACUGAGACACGGUCCAGACUCCUACGGGAGGCAGCAGUAGGGAAUCUUCCGCAAUGGGCGAAAGCUUGACGGAGCAACGCCGCGUGAGUGAUGAAGGUCUUCGGAUCGUAAAACUCUGUUAGUAGGGAAGAACAAAUGUGUAAGUAACUAUGCACGUCUUGACGGUACCUAAUCAGAAAGCCACGGCUAACUACGUG